rnacentral:lncRNA from 1 species
UACCCAUUUGGUCCGGUUUGGGCGCGCCGGGCGGACCGCCGAACGGACAGCACCUCCCCUGUCCGCCCAAGGCUAAAGCAACAAGAUUGUGUGCAACAAGUGCCCAGGAAAACAACUUGAUAACAUACACAAUCUGUAACACACUGGACCUUUGCAAAUUGCGAGGUUCGAGUGUUUGGAUGUAUUUCGGGCUUUUCCACACUUGGUGGAGGGUUGUAAAAUGUUCCCCGACCCGAAACGUUCGAAAACUGAAAUUCUGGACAAGUCCUGAGAGUUUUUACUCUCGGGGACCGGUCCCUGGAAUGAGAGACCGGUUCCCCCAGUGAGCAGUAUUGAGGCAGCCUGAGGCAACCGGUCCCUGGCAGGCGAGACCGGUUCCCGAACGCGUCUUCGCAGUGAGAGACCGGUCCCGCGCAGGGAGAGACCGGUUCCCGAACGCUGGUUUUUCGGGUUCGCAGCGAGAGACCGGUCCCAGCUGGGGAGAGACCGGUCCCUCUGGGCGAAAACUGCCCAGUUCGGGCUGAUGUAAUAUUGGGUUUUUGAGGGGCCUGGUUGGAUUUUGUUACUCUAGAUGGGCUUAUUAGCCAUUUCACUCCCUUCCCUCCUCAUUUCUCACCACCCUACACCUUCUAGAGAGAGAAGAAGAAGAAGGAGAAGAAGAAGAAGGAGGAGAAGAAGAAGAGAAGCUAGUUUGAGGGAGCUUGGAGCUCAACCCCUUUCUCUCUUUCCCACCUUGGCAAGGCUUGGAGCUUGCUUGUAGAGCUUAGUGGUGGACCGACUUCAACCCUAGGGCAUUUUGGGCUUGGAUUGAAGCUUCCAAAGGGUUAGUAUCAUGCUUCCCUCCUCUAGAUUCUUGUUUUUGUGAUUUUUGGGAGAUGAAACCCUAGAAAUGAGAUUUAGGGCUUAUUUUGGGCAUUUUUGAUCUAGGGCUUUUGGGGCUAAAUUGAUUGGUUUAGAACCUUCCUAGGGCUUGGAUUGGAAGGGUUCUAGCUCUCUUUUGGAGUUUUGGAAGAGAUUUCUACUCUUGAGGUGAGUUUUGCCCCUUUUUGCUCCUAGGGUAAUGUUUGAUGUUAUAGGAUGGUUGUAAUGCCCUCGUAUCUCUUCGCUGAUUACUUUUAGGGUAUUUUGAGACUCGGGGACAACUUGAUUCGGCGAGACGAGACCCUACGCGACGGUUCGGUGGGUUUGACCUAGCCACACAAUGAGAAAUUCUCAUUUGUGCUUAAUUAAGUGUUGUUAAAUGAAAAAGCAUGCAUAUUCUUGUUAUAUGUAUUUAUUGUGAAUUUUAGAAUGCUUAAAAGGCCUAUGUUAUAUAUGAUGAAAUUUUGGACCUCUAUAUAGUAGAGAGUAGCUUAUUGGGCC